GUAGCACUAGAUAUUUUCCCGCCGCGCGCGGCCCGCCCCCGCUGCCGCCACCUCCUGCCCUGCACCGCGCCGCCCGCCCCCACCCUCCCGCCGCAGCUGUCCGAGGUAGACUGGAUCCGCGGCGAGAGGCAGGUUCUGGCAGCGGAGGGUCGAUCGAUGGGGCGACCUGCGGGUGAGCGGCGGCGGCGGGGCUGAAUCUAGUCGAUGGGGUCUACCUGGCGGAUGAGUUUGGCAGCCCGGCAGCAGUAGCGCUCCGUCCACACCCCGCGCUGGACCGGCAGCAGCGUCGCUCCCUCCAUCCUCACCCCGUGCUGGACCGGCAGCAGCAGAACGGAUGAAUUCUACCUCCUGCUCAGCCACGAAGGGCUCCACCCCAGGCCACAAAUCGUCCCCAUCGAGAUAUGGACGGCGGCGAAGCUGCAACUCGGGUGGCGCCAUGGCUCCCUGUGCAGAGAAAACGAGACGAGGGGGAGAUCAGGGAGGAGCAGCAGGAGGAGUGAAGGAAAAAGAAGGCGGUGGAGAAGGCCUUGCUCGCCGGAGAGCUCAACUUGCAUUGACGAACUCCAAGGCGCAUGUUCUGGCAACAGAGGGCUGGAUCCGGUCGACGGGAAGACCUGUAGGCGAGCGGCAGCGACGGUUUGGGACGGUCGCGAAGCUGCAACUCGGGCAGCGCCAUGGCUCCCUAAGCAGAGAAAACGAGACGAGGGGGAGGUCAGGGAGGAGCAGCAGGACGAGUGAAGGAAAAGAAGGCGGUGGAGAAGGCGAGGAACUCCGAGGCGGCGGCGCCCGCUGUAGCAGGAGGUGGGUCGGGUGCACCGACAUGAUAGCUGUGCUUGGUGGGAACUGAUUGCGGGCAUGGGAACCGUGGAUCGACCCCCACGUACACAGGUGCUAUACAUUUUUUCGUAUGCCUCUUCUAGAUUUCGUUUUGAGCUGAUGGGUGCGAGAUGUGGCAUCAUGUCUCGGCUCUACAAAAUCCAUGGCUGAAGUGCGUGUCCCAGGGUCACAGUCUCCAUUAUUUCUUCAGUUCCUCGCUUCCCGCUUGUUUCAAGAACAAAAACAUUCAGUGAGGAAGACCAGUAACAAAUUUGGAUGUUGUAUGCACCUUCAUCUUGCAGUCCAAUUACUUGGACUGUUUGCGACAAAUUCGUUUGUUUUUAACUGUACUACAGUUAUAUAGCAGGAUAAGGAUACAUGCUUGUACUGCCUC